AGCGAACGCUGGCGGCAGGCCUAACACAUGCAAGUCGAACGAACCCUUCGGGGUUAGUGGCGGACGGGUGAGUAACACGUGGGAACGUGCCUUUAGGUUCGGAAUAACUCAGGGAAACUUGUGCUAAUACCCACUGUGCCCUUCGGGGGAAAGAUUUAUCGCCUUUCGAGCGGCCCGCGUCUGAUUAGAUAGUUGGUGAGGUGAUGGCUCACCAAGGCUACGAUCAGUAGCUGGUCUGAGAGGAUGACCAGCCACAUUGGGACUGAGACACGGCCCAAACUCCUACGGGAGGCAGCAGUGGGGAAUCUUGCGCAAUGGGCGAAAGCCUGACGCAGCCAUGCCGCGUGGAUGAUGAAGGUCUUAGGAUUGUAAAAUCCUUUCACCGGUGAAGAUAAUGACUGUAGCCGGAGAAGAAGCCCCGGCUAACUUCGUGCCAGCCGCCGCGGUAACAC
rnacentral:rRNA from 1 species